GCUGACCUACAGCCUUCAUGGGAUGUAAGCAAGAAACCAGUGCUUGAAGUCGCACUGAGCUCAGCCAUUAUUCGUCCUUCUGCCUACUUCUCACUUCACCGUAAGGCUGUCUCCUCCCUCGGCCCCCACCCUGCCCACUGCAGCAUUUUCCUGGAUUUGCAGUGCACACUGGACACCUUCUGCUAACUGGCAGGCUCACUGACGGUUGCCGAGGGCCCGGUCCUUAGAUUCAUGCAUUCUCUUCCCUGGAGACAGGCUUUUGGGAUAAGAAAAUGGAAAAGGCGCUUUGGGAACAUUACCUGAAUAUCUAAAUGGAGACUAAUGACCGAGAACAUGAAGGAGUGCCGACAGGCCCCAGAGAGACCCCUUUCUGGAGACGAGCCUGCCUCUCGUGGUGUGAC